CCCAGACAGCCAGGAUGUUGGCUUAGAAGCAGCCAUCAUUUAAAGAAAGCGUAAUAGCUCACUGGUCGAGUCGGCCUGCGCGGAAGAUGUAACGGGGCUAAACCAUGCACCGAAGCUGCGGCAGCGACGCUGAUGCGUUGUUGGGUAGGGGAGCGUUCUGUAAGCCUGUGAAGGUGGCCUGUGAGGGUUGCUGGAGGUAUCAGAAGUGCGAAUGCUGACAUAAGUAACGAUAAAGCGGGUGAAAAGCCCGCUCGCCGGAAGACCAAGGGUUCCUGUCCAACGUUAAUCGGGGCAGGGUGAGUCGACCCCUAAGGCGAGGCCGAAAGGCGUAGUCGAUGGGAAACGGGUUAAUAUUCCCGUACUUGGUGUUACUGCGAAGGGGGGACGGAGAAGGCUAUGUUGGCCGGGCGACGGUUGUCCCGGUUUAAGCGUGUAGGUGUGUGUUCCAGGUAAAUCCGGUUCACUUUAACACUGAGGCGUGAUGACGAGGCACUACGGUGCUGAAGCAACAAAUGCCCUGCUUCCAGGAAAAGCCUCUAAGCAUCAGGUAACAUCAAAUCGUACCCCAAACCGACACAGGUGGUCAGGUAGAGAAUACCAAGGCGCUUGAGAGAACUCGGGUGAAGGAACUAGGCAAAAUGGUGCCGUAACUUCGGGAGAAGGCACGCUGACACGUAGGUGAAGUGAUUUACUCAUGGAGCUGAAGUCAGUCGAAGAUACCAGCUGGCUGCAACUGUUUAUUAAAAACACAGCACUGUGCAAACACGAAAGUGGACGUAUACGGUGUGACGCCUGCCCGGUGCCGGAAGGUUAAUUGAUGGGG
rnacentral:rRNA from 1 species